rnacentral:rRNA from 1 species
CCGCCAGAAAACUACGAGCAAUAGCUUAAAAUUCAAAGGACUUGGCGGUGCCCCAAACCCACCCAGAGGAGCCUGUUCUUUAAUCGAUAAUCCACGCUUUACCUCACCAUCUCUAGCCACUUCAGCCUAUAUACCACCGUCACCAGCUAACCUUGUGAAAGAACAAAAAUUAGCAAAAUGAAUUCUAACUCAAUACGUCAGGUCAAGGUGUAGCACACGAGAUGGGAAGAAAUGGGCUACAUUUUCCUAUUAAGAACUUACGAAUUCAUGUAAUGAAAACAACAUAUGAAGCAGGAUUUGGCAGUAAAAAGAAACUAUAAAAUUCUUUUUAAAAAGGCCAUGGGGCGCGC